GACGAACGCUGGCGGCGUGCUUAACACAUGCAAGUCGAACGGAGAGGCCCUGCUUUUGUGGGGUGCUCGAGUGGCGAACGGGUGAGUAACACGUGAGUAACCUGCCCUUGACUUUGGGAUAACUUCAGGAAACUGGGGCUAAUACCGGAUAGGAGCUCCUGCUGCAUGGUGGGGGUUGGAAAGUUUCGGCGGUUGGGGAUGGACUCGCGGCUUAUCAGCUUGUUGGUGGGGUAGUGGCUUACCAAGGCUUUGACGGGUAGCCGGCCUGAGAGGGUGACCGGCCACAUUGGGACUGAGAUACGGCCCAGACUCCUACGGGAGGCAGCAGUGGGGAAUAUUGCACAAUGGGCGGAAGCCUGAUGCAGCAACGCCGCGUGCGGGAUGACGGCCUUCGGGUUGUAAACCGCUUUCGCCUGUGACGAAGCGUGAGUGACGGUAAUGGGUAAAGAAGCACCGGCUAACUACGUGCCAGCAGCCGCGGUGAUACGUAGGGUGCGAGCGUUGUCCGGAUUUAUUGGGCGUAAAGGGCUCGUAGGUGGUUGAUCGCGUCGGAAGUGUAAUCUUGGGGCUUAACCCUGAGCGUGCUUUCGAUACGGGUUGACUUGAGGAAGGUAGGGGAGAAUGGAAUUCCUGGUGGAGCGGUGGAAUGCGCAGAUAUCAGGAGGAACACCAGUGGCGAAGGCGGUUCUCUGGGCCUUUCCUGACGCUGAGGAGCGAAAGCGUGGGGAGCGAACAGGCUUAGAUACCCUGGUAGUCCACGCUGUAAACGGUGGGUACUAGGUGUGGGGUCCAUUCCACGGGUUCCGUGCCGUAGCUAACGCUUUAAGUAUCCCGCCUGGGGAGUACGGCCGCAAGGCUAAAACUCAAAGGAAUUGACGGGGCCCCGCACAAGCGGCGGAGCAUGCGGAUUAAUUCGAUGCAACGCGUAGAACCUUACCUGGGUUUGACAUGGAUCGGGAGUGCUCAGAGAUGGGUGUGCCUCUUUUGGGGUCGGUUCACAGGUGGUGCAUGGCUGUCGUCAGCUCGUGUCGUGAGAUGUUGGGUUAAGUCCCGCAACGAGCGCAACCCUUGUUCACUGUUGCCAGCACGUUAUGGUGGGGACUCAGUGGAGACCGCCGGGGUCAACUCGGAGGAAGGUGGGGAUGACGUCAAGUCAUCAUGCCCCUUAUGUCCAGGGCUUCACGCAUGCUACAAUGGCUGGUACAGAGAGUGGCGAGCCUGUGAGGGUGAGUGAAUCUCGGAAAGCCGGUCUCAGUUCGGAUUGGGGUCUGCAACUCGACCUCAUGAAGUCGGAGUCGUCUAGUAAUCGCAGAUCAGCAACGCUGCGGUGAAUACGUUCCCGGGGCUUGUACACACCGCCCGUCAAGUCAUGAAAGUUGGUAACACCCGAAGCCGGUGGCCUAACCGUUGUGGGGGAG
rnacentral:rRNA from 1 species